GAGGAAAGAGGAGGAACCUGCAAAGGGAGAUGUGUGCAGGUGUGCUCAGAUUUUUACUUUGAUUUGAGCCAUUGAUGUAUAUGGUUCUGCUUGCUCCCUAGGGAUUCAUAUA